GACGAACGCUGGCGGCGUGCUUAACACAUGCAGGUCGAACGGAAAGUCCCUGCUUUUGUGGGGUGCUCGAGUGGCGAACGGGUGAGUAACACGUGAGUAACCUGCCCUUGACUUUGGGAUAACUUCAGGAAACUGGGGCUAAUACCGGAUAUGAGCUCCUGCUGCAUGGUGUGGGUUGGAAAGUUUCGGCGGUUGGGGAUGGACUCGCGGCUUAUCAGCUUGUUGGUGGGGUAGUGGCUUACCAAGGCUUUGACGGGUAGCCGGCCUGAGAGGGUGACCGGCCACAUUGGGACUGAGAUACGGCCCAGACUCCAACGGGAGGCAGCAGUGGAGAAUAUUGCACAAUGGGCGGAAGCCUGAUGCAGCAACGCCGCGUGCGGGAUGACGGCCUUCGGGUUGUAAACCGCUUUCGCCUGUGACGAAGCGUGAGUGACGGUAAUGGGUAAAGAAGCACCGGCUAACUACGUG
rnacentral:rRNA from 1 species